rnacentral:rRNA from 1 species
UACGGAGGGUGCGAGCGUUGUCCGGAAUCAUUGGGCGUAAAGCGCGUGUAGGCGGCCCGGUAAGUCCGCUGUGAAAGUCGGGGGCUCAACCCUCGGAUGCCGGUGGAUACUAUCGGGCUUGAGUACGGAAGAGGCGAGUGGAAUUCCUGGUGUAGCGGUGAAAUGCGCAGAUAUCAGGAGGAACACCAAUUGCGAAGGCAGCUCGCUGGGACGUUACUGACGCUGAGACGCGAAAGCGUGGGGAGCAAACAGG